rnacentral:rRNA from 1 species
AAAUUGAAGAGUUUGAUCAUGGCUCAGAUUGAACGCUGGCGGCAGGCCUAACACAUGCAAGUCGAGCGGUAGCACAGAGAGCUUGCUCUCGGGUGACGAGCGGCGGACGGGUGAGUAAUGUCUGGGAAACUGCCUGAUGGAGGGGGAUAACUACUGGAAACGGUAGCUAAUACCGCAUAAUGUCGCAAGACCAAAGUGGGGGACCUUCGGGCCUCAUGCCAUCAGAUGUGCCCAGAUGGGAUUAGCUAGUAGGUGGGGUAACGGCUCACCUAGGCGACGAUCCCUAGCUGGUCUGAGAGGAUGACCAGCCACACUGGAACUGAGACACGGUCCAGACUCCUACGGGAGGCAGCAGUGGGGAAUAUUGCACAAUGGGCGCAAGCCUGAUGCAGCCAUGCCGCGUGUGUGAAGAAGGCCUUCGGGUUGUAAAGCACUUUCAGCGGGGAGGAAGGCGGUGAGGUUAAUAACCUCAUCGAUUGACGUUACCCGCAGAAGAAGCACCGGCUAACUCCGUGCCAGCAGCCGCGGUAAUACGGAGGGUGCAAGCGUUAAUCGGAAUUACUGGGCGUAAAGCGCACGCAGGCGGUCUGUCAAGUCGGAUGUGAAAUCCCCGGGCUCAACCUGGGAACUGCAUUCGAAACUGGCAGGCUAGAGUCUUGUAGAGGGGGGUAGAAUUCCAGGUGUAGCGGUGAAAUGCGUAGAGAUCUGGAGGAAUACCGGUGGCGAAGGCGGCCCCCUGGACAAAGACUGACGCUCAGGUGCGAAAGCGUGGGGAGCAAACAGGAUUAGAUACCCUGGUAGUCCACGCCGUAAACGAUGUCGAUUUGGAGGUUGUGCCCUUGAGGCGUGGCUUCCGGAGCUAACGCGUUAAAUCGACCGCCUGGGGAGUACGGCCGCAAGGUUAAAACUCAAAUGAAUUGACGGGGGCCCGCACAAGCGGUGGAGCAUGUGGUUUAAUUCGAUGCAACGCGAAGAACCUUACCUGGUCUUGACAUCCACAGAACUUUCCAGAGAUGGAUUGGUGCCUUCGGGAACUGUGAGACAGGUGCUGCAUGGCUGUCGUCAGCUCGUGUUGUGAAAUGUUGGGUUAAGUCCCGCAACGAGCGCAACCCUUAUCCUUUGUUGCCAGCGGUUAGGCCGGGAACUCAAAGGAGACUGCCAGUGAUAAACUGGAGGAAGGUGGGGAUGACGUCAAGUCAUCAUGGCCCUUACGACCAGGGCUACACACGUGCUACAAUGGCGCAUACAAAGAGAAGCGACCUCGCGAGAGCAAGCGGACCUCAUAAAGUGCGUCGUAGUCCGGAUUGGAGUCUGCAACUCGACUCCAUGAAGUCGGAAUCGCUAGUAAUCGUGGAUCAGAAUGCCACGGUGAAUACGUUCCCGGGCCUUGUACACACCGCCCGUCACACCAUGGGAGUGGGUUGCAAAAGAAGUAGGUAGCUUAACCUUCGGGAGGGCGCUUACCACUUUGUGAUUCAUGACUGGGGUGAAGUCGUAACAAGGUAACCGUAGGGGAACCUGCGGUUGGAUCACCUCCUUA